rnacentral:lncRNA from 1 species
CGCCUCUGAGAGCUCUAGCUGUAUUCCUCCAGUGGGGAUGCGGGCUGUGUUCACCAGGAGGAAGUAAGAAAGCUGCAGGCUGUGCCAGUGAUAUGAGAAAUAAGUCAUCUAACUCGCUCUCAAGGUGGCUGACUCUGAAAAAUUCUCUUUGGGAGAUUUCGAAAGAACGAGUUGAAACACAUUUCUUAAAUUUCUGA